GAUGAACGCUGGCGGCGUGCCUAAUACAUGCAAGUCGAGCGAACAGACGAGGAGCUUGCUCCUCUGACGUUAGCGGCGGACGGGUGAGUAACGCGUGGAUAACCUACCUAUAAGACUGGGAUAACUUCGGGAAACCGGAGCUAAUACCGGAUAAUAUAUUGAACCGCAUGGUUCAAUAGUGAAAGACGGUUUUGCUGUCACUUAUAGAUGGAUCCGCGCCGCAUUAGCUAGUUGGUAAGGUAACGGCUUACCAAGGCGACGAUGCGUAGCCGACCUGAGAGGGUGAUCGGCCACACUGGAACUGAGACACGGUCCAGACUCCUACGGGAGGCAGCAGUAGGGAAUCUUCCGCAAUGGGCGAAAGCCUGACGGAGCAACGCCGCGUGAGUGAUGAAGGUCUUCGGAUCGUAAAACUCUGUUAUUAGGGAAGAACAAAUGUGUAAGUAACUAUGCACGUCUUGACGGUACCUAAUCAGAAAGCUACGGCUAACUACGUG
rnacentral:rRNA from 1 species